rnacentral:RNase_P_RNA from 1 species
CGAGUGGGGCGGACGGUCGCGGCGCGUCUUCGGGCGUGUCGAGGAAAGUCCGGACUCCGAUGGGGGCGGGCGCUGGUUAACGGCCAGGCGGCGCAAGCCGACGGAAAGUGCAACAGAAAGCAAACCGCCGAUGGGGCGCCUUCGGGCGCUCACAGGCAAGGGUGAAACGGUGAGGUAAGAGCUCACCCGGGAGAGCCCGGCAACGGGCCCCGCGGUAAACCCCGCCCGGAGCAAUCGCAAAUAGGGACGCGUUACGAGCCGAGACCCCCUGGCCAGGCGUCCGGGUAGCGAGCUAGAGGCGUGCGGCAACGCACGUCCCAGAGGAAUGACCGUCCAGCGUGCCCCAGACCAGUCUGGAGCAUGUGGACAGAAUCCGGCUUACAGCCCCACUCGCACU